rnacentral:lncRNA from 1 species
CCCUGCCGCUAUGGAAACAGCAGUAUCAGAAACAACAGUCCUGGUUAGCGGCGUGCUCAUGCCAUGUGCCUGUCAGUUCUGCAAGCAUCUGUUGGAUGUGAAGGUUGAUGGGAUGACCACACUGCCCACAACAGGCAAAAGGGUGCAGACAGCUGAGGCUCCUCACUUCCCGCUCCAAAGCUCAGAACCUCCCUUCCCUCCUGGAUCCAACAGAAGCAGCGGCCGCUGCUGUCUGUGCCUCUCAAACUUGUCACCCACGGAUGCUGGGAAAAAUGCACAUAAAAUUGACCUCGGGCUGAUUCCAGGACCCGACCCUGGAUUCCUCCAGAGGAUCCAGAGCCCAUCCUGAUGAGCUCAUGUGUGCAAUGAGGUAAGAGUGGAUAGCACCGGUGGCACCUGACCUCUCGCCUCUGUUCCUCUCCUGUGAGAGCCUUUGCACCACAGGGCAGGGGCCAGAGGGCUUCACAGCCGGGCCCUGUCACCUCCCCCGCGUGGCACCCUUCACUCUCCUCACCCUGCUGGGCCCUGCAUAAGGCCUGCUGCCCGCAGCC